rnacentral:lncRNA from 1 species
CUUGGUGCAUUUGAGGCUAGGAUCUGCUUGUUUGAAGUCCUUAUGUUUCAGUCCUUCCUGUCAGUCAAGUGUAUCUGUGUACUCUCUAUAUAUAUUUCAUGUAUAAAGUGCCUAUUGAAGAAAUAAUUUUGGAAAUACUAAGAGAAUGUUCUCUGUUUUGAUCAUUCCACAAUGUUUUCUACUUAAUGAGCACAAAGAUUUUAGAAAUGUGCAUUUUAUCUUUAGAAAAGACUGCUGUCAAAAAGACCUGCGAGAAUUCUUCCCUUUGGAAAAGAAAAAUCUGGUUAUGUGAUAGUAGAAACAGCUGUAGGUGGCCACAUUAUCUACAGUGUCCUUUUAAAACCCAGCCAUGGUGUGUGGGUGUUAUGUGUGUAUUGGAGUUGAAAAGUUGAAAUGGAAUGAAACUAGGCAUUUUUGCAGAAAUUAAGCAAUUACUAUUUGCUGAUAUAAUGUCAAUUCAUAAGUGACCCCUCAACAACAUCAAAGCAAUCACUUAGGAAUUAAAAAAUAAUCACCUCACUGAACAAGCAGAUGUAUUUGUUUAGAUGAAGCAUUCAAGAGUUACCUGACCCAGACUGCAAACGAAGGGGCCCCACAAGCCAGUCAGCCUGAGGAAGGACUCUGAAACCUCCAUUACCUACGGCCCAUGAGUUCUGACAGCAAAGUGAAUCACUUCUGGGGAAAACAAUGACUUGUUUACUUUUCAUUGAAUUGAAAAUUGAAGAUAUUUCAUAAUAGGAUCUGGGAAAAUUUACCAGAUGUUUCAUUGCACUGUGUUCUUCUGGCAGGUCUACAAGAUAUAAUACUGAAAAAGGCUAAUAAAUCAAGGUGGGUAUGAAAAGCUUAGGGACAAAAUUCAUAAAAAUCUUGAACUGCAGGAGGACACCUUUUUUUUCCAGCUGCUAGAAUAUGAAAAUUUCUAACUUUUUUCUGAUGCUUCACAGACAAGCUAAUAUAAAAUAUAGAUUCUAUUUUUACUCAGGUUUUCUCUCCUUCUUCCUUUUUUUCCUUCUUUUCUGCUCCAAUUUUGCAAAUCUAAGAAUUUUUAAACCCAGAAUAAAAAAAAAUGUAUUUCUUCUACAUUACCUUGAAAUGAUAGAUGAAUAUAUAACCACAGCCGCAAACCACAGCUUCAACUUGAGGACCUUCAUUUCUUGACCCAAGGAAAGGUACACAGAAACAGAUCUUGAGAUGUUUUAAAAUAACAAAUUCAUUUUGUCAGAGCCAAGCACAGAAUGGAAAGCUUUUGUUUCAUUUACCUUUUCCUCCUCUUCAGAUUUUUGAGAUAUUUCAUAAAAGCAAAUACUAAUAAACUGUGGUGUUAAAUAGAUGACCUUGGUGGAGACCGUUUUCUGGGCAUCUGUUACUUACUUUGGACCAUUGUCUGUGCUAUUGUGACUAAAUUCUUUUUUUUUAAAUUUAUCUAUUGUUGAAUAAAAAAUCACCUCAAAACUCAUGACUC